rnacentral:rRNA from 1 species
AACGAACGCUGGCGGCAUGCCUAACACAUGCAAGUCGAACGAGACCUUCGGGUCUAGUGGCGCACGGGUGCGUAACGCGUGGGAACCUGCCCUUAGGUUCGGAAUAACUCCCCGAAAGGGGUGCUAAUACCGGAUAAUGUCUUCGGACCAAAGAUUUAUCGCCUUUGGAUGGGCCCGCGUUGGAUUAGCUGGUUGGUAGGGUAAAAGCCUACCAAGGCGACGAUCCAUAGCUGGUCUGAGAGGAUGAUCAGCCACACUGGGACUGAGACGCGGCCCAGACUCUUCCGGAAGGCGGCAGUGGGGAAUAUUGGACAAUGGCCGAAGGGCUGAUCCACCAAGGCCGCGUGAGUGCUGAAGGCCUUAGGGUUGAAAAGCUCUUUUACCCGGGAUGAUAAUGACGGUACCGGAAGAAUAAGCUCCGGCUAACUCCGUG